UAGUUACCUGGACAAGACAGUAAAACAUCUGAUUCUGCCAACGCCCAGGACUUGGUAUUCUCAUCAAGAUGUCAUCGAACACUAUGUCCUGAAAAUCUGCGUAAUUUUUUGGUUCUUCUUUUUGUGCUUAAAUAGAAUUGAUGUAUAGCAUGUAUAAUGUGUGGCAGAUAACAGUUAGCUAAGAGCAAAUGUAAUGACGGUGAUUGAGAAGAAACGGAGUCUCACUCUGUCGGCCAGGCUGGAGUGCAGUGGCGUGAUCUCGGCUCACUGCAAGUGAAUCAGGACAUCUAACCCACACUCAACAGGAGGAGACUAUAGAAGAAUAUGAAUAUGUGUCAGGAGCGAGGCCACCUUGGUAGGAGAAAGUAAGAAGAUAUGACCAGUUAUCUCCUCCAUCAGACAAAGGCACUAUUGAUUGUUCAGGAAAUUAAGUGGCCCCCUUUGCACCACAGUGCAAAAAAUGUACUCUUCUUUGGUGAAUCUUUAUUAUGUUG
rnacentral:lncRNA from 10 species